rnacentral:rRNA from 1 species
UUGGGAAUAUUGGACAAUGGGCGAAAGCCUGAUCCAGCCAUGCCGCGUGUGUGAAGAAGGUCUUCGGAUUGUAAAGCACUUUAAGUUGGGAGGAAGGGCAGUUACCUAAUACGUGAUUGUUUUGACGUUACCGACAGAAUAAGCACCGGCUAACUCUGUGCCAGCAGCCGCGGUAAUACAGAGGGUGCAAGCGUUGUUCGGAUUUACUGGGCGUAAAGGGCGCGUAGGCGGCGUGGUAAGUCAUCUGUGAAAUCUCCGAGCUUAACUCGGAACGGUCAGAUGAUACUGCUGUGCUAGAGUACAGAAGGGGCAAUCGGAAUUCUUGGUGUAGCGGUGAAAUGCGUAGAUAUCAAGAGGAACACCUGAGGUGAAGACGGGUUGCUGGGCUGAUACUGACGCUGAGGCGCGAAAGCCAGGGGAGCAAACGGGAUUAGAUACCCCCGUAGUCCCUGAGCGGGCUGGCAAGGCGCAU